AGUGAACGCUGGCGGUAGGCCUAACACAUGCAAGUCGAACGGCAGCACAGUAAGAGCUUGCUCUUACGGGUGGCGAGUGGCGGACGGGUGAGGAAUACAUCGGAAUCUACUUUUUCGUGGGGGAUAACGUAGGGAAACUUACGCUAAUACCGCAUACGACCUACGGGUGAAAGCAGGGGAUCUUCGGACCUUGCGCGAAUGAAUGAGCCGAUGUCGGAUUAGCUAGUUGGCGGGGUAAAGGCCCACCAAGGCGACGAUCCGUAGCUGGUCUGAGAGGAUGGUCGCCCACACUGGAACGGAAACACGGUCCAGACUCCUACGGGAGGCAGCAGUGGGGAAUAUUGGACAAUGGGCGCAAGCCUGAUCCAGCCAUACCGCGUGGGUGAAGAAGGCCUUCGGGUUGUAAAGCCCUUUUGUUGGGAAAGAAAAGCAGCAGGUUAAUACCCCGCUGUUCUGACGGUACCCAAAGAAUAAGCACCGGCUAACUUCGUG
rnacentral:rRNA from 1 species